AUUGAACGCUGGCGGCAGGCUUAACACAUGCAAGUCGAACGAUGAUUAUCUAGCUUGCUAGAUAUGAUUAGUGGCGGACGGGUGAGUAACAUUUAGGAAUCUGCCUAGUAGUGGGGGAUAGCUCGGGGAAACUCGAAUUAAUACCGCAUACGACCUACGGGUGAAAGGGGGCGCAAGCUCUUGCUAUUAGAUGAGCCUAAAUCAGAUUAGCUAGUUGGUGGGGUAAAGGCCCACCAAGGCGACGAUCUGUAACUGGUCUGAGAGGAUGAUCAGUCACACCGGAACUGAGACACGGUCCGGACUCCUACGGGAGGCAGCAGUGGGGAAUAUUGGACAAUGGGGGCAACCCUGAUCCAGCCAUGCCGCGUGUGUGAAGAAGGCCUUUUGGUUGUAAAGCACUUUAAGCAGGGAGGAGAGGCUAAUGGUUAAUACCCAUUAGAUUAGACGUUACCUGCAGAAUAAGCACCGGCUAACUCUGUGCCAGCAGCCGCGGUAAUACAGAGGGUGCGAGCGUUAAUCGGAAUUACUGGGCGUAAAGCGAGUGUAGGUGGCUCAUUAAGUCACAUGUGAAAUCCCCGGGCUUAACCUGGGAACUGCAUGUGAUACUGGUGGUGCUAGAAUAUGUGAGAGGGAAGUAGAAUUCCAGGUGUAGCGGUGAAAUGCGUAGAGAUCUGGAGGAAUACCGAUGGCGAAGGCAGCUUCCUGGCAUAAUAUUGACACUGAGAUUCGAAAGCGUGGGUAGCAAACAGGAUUAGAUACCCUGGUAGACCACGCCGUAAACGAUGUCUACUAGCCGUUGGGGUCCUUGAGACUUUAGUGGCGCAGUUAACGCGAUAAGUAGACCGCCUGGGGAGUACGGCCGCAAGGUUAAAACUCAAAUGAAUUGACGGGGGCCCGCACAAGCGGUGGAGCAUGUGGUUUAAUUCGAUGCAACGCGAAGAACCUUACCUGGUCUUGACAUAGUGAGAAUCCUGCAGAGAUGCGGGAGUGCCUUCGGGAAUUCACAUACAGGUGCUGCAUGGCUGUCGUCAGCUCGUGUCGUGAGAUGUUGGGUUAAGUCCCGCAACGAGCGCAACCCUUUUCCUUAUUUGCCAGCGGGUUAAGCCGGGAACUUUAAGGAUACUGCCAGUGACAAACUGGAGGAAGGCGGGGACGACGUCAAGUCAUCAUGGCCCUUACGACCAGGGCUACACACGUGCUACAAUGGUAGGUACAGAGGGUUGCUACACAGCGAUGUGAUGCUAAUCUCAAAAAGCCUAUCGUAGUCCGGAUUGGAGUCUGCAACUCGACUCCAUGAAGUCGGAAUCGCUAGUAAUCGCAGAUCAGAAUGCUGCGGUGAAUACGUUCCCGGGCCU
rnacentral:rRNA from 1 species